rnacentral:rRNA from 1 species
UACGUAGGCAGCAAGCGUUGUUCGGAGUUACUGGGCGUAAAGGGUGCGUAGGCGGUUCUUUAAGUUUGGUGUGAAAUCUCCCGGCUCAACUGGGAGGGUGCGCCGAAUACUGAGGGACUAGAGUACGGGAGAGGAAAGUGGAAUUCCUGGUGUAGCGGUGAAAUGCGUAGAUAUCAGGAGGAACACCGGUGGUGUAGACGGCUUUCUGGACCGUAACUGACGCUGAAACACGAAAGCGUGGGUAGCAAACAGG